AGUGAACGCUGGCGGUAGGCCUAACACAUGCAAGUCGAACGGCAGCACAGAGGAGCUUGCUCCUUGGGUGGCGAGUGGCGGACGGGUGAGGAAUACAUCGGAAUCUACUCUGUCGUGGGGGAUAACGUAGGGAAACUUACGCUAAUACCGCAUACGACCUACGGGUGAAAGCAGGGGACCUUCGUGCCUUGCGCGAUUGAACGAGCCGAUGUCGGAUUAGCUAGUUGGCGGGGUAAAGGCCCACCAAGGCGACGAUCCGUAGCUGGUCUGAGAGGAUGAUCAGCCACCCUGGACCUGGGACACGGUCCAGACUCCUACGGGAGGCAGCAGUGGGGAAUAUUGGACAAUGGGCGCAAGCCUGAUCCAGCCAUACCGCGUGGGUGAAGAAGGCCUUCGGGUUGUAAAGCCCUUUUGUUGGGAAAGAAAUCCAGCUGGCUAAUACCCGGUUGGGAUGACGGUACCCAAAGAAUAAGCACCGGCUAACUUCGUGCCAGCCGCCGCAGUAA
rnacentral:rRNA from 1 species